GAUGAACGCUGGCGGCGUGCCUAAUACAUGCAAGUCGAGCGAAGCGGGGACGGGUGCGUAACACGUGGAAACCCUCGUAUACGUCUGGGAUAACUUCGGGAAACCGGAGCUAAACGGGAUACUUGUAGAUGGCUCCGCGCUGCAUUAGCUAGUUGGUAAGGUAACGGCGUACAAAGGCAACGAUGCAUAGCCGACCUGAGAGGGUGAUCGGCCACACGGGAACUGAGACACGGCCCAGACUCCUACGGGAGGCAGCAGUAGGGAAUCUUCCGCAAUGGACGAAAGCCUGACGGAGCAACGCCGCGUGAGUGAUGAAGGUUUUCGGAUCGUAAAACUCUGUUAGUAGGGAAGCGGUACCUAAUCAGAAAGCCACGGCUAACUACGUGCCAGCAGCCGCGGUAAUUC
rnacentral:rRNA from 1 species